GUAUCAGGCAACUUCUUUCCAUGAAAGUGAGAUCUGUGCGUCUUGAAGCCGAUAGAUUAUCACAGAAAAACCAGCAACCCUGAUUUUAAAUCAUUUGCCAACAGUGUUAAUGGGCGGUUCCUAAUCCGUUUCUUAAUUUAAGGGUUUGUAAAAUCAAAAAACAGCUCAGAAAUGAUACGAUUAACAUAUGACCUACUGAGGAGGCUGAGGCAGAGAAGUGCUUGAACCCGGGAGGCAGAAGUUGCAGUGAGCCAAGAUCACGCCACAAAGAAAUGUAUCAGAUUUAAGUUGGGUUGAUCUCAAAGUGAAGGAUGGAGAAAUGAAUUCUCUAUUGUCAUAAGGAAAAGGGAAGUCAUGAAGUUAGAAGGGGCUUGUAUCUGAAGGCCUCUGGCCAAUGUGCCUGCUGCCAUUUCCUCUGUCCCUGAGGUCUCCAGAAGAGAAAGGAGCUCCAGCCUUGCAUUCUUUGGGUGUGGAGAGGAGCAGAGCAGAAUGGAGCCUGCAGGUCAUGCCAGGAGUCACCGCAAGGCUGUGGCUGUCAGCUCA
rnacentral:lncRNA from 10 species